rnacentral:rRNA from 1 species
AUAUUGGAGGGCAAGUCUGGUGCCAGCAGCCGCGGUAAUUCCAGCUCCAAUAGCGUAUAUUAAAGUUGUUGCGGUUAAAAAGCUCGUAGUUGGAUCUCAGCUCACGCUAAGUGGUCCACUUAAUGGUGGUUACUACUUAGCUGAGCAUUUUACAGAUUUGUCUCUUGAUGCUCUUCACCGAGUGUCAAGAGUGGUCUGUACGUUUACUUUGAAAAAAUUAGAGUGCUUAAAGCAGGCAACUCGCCCGAAUAAUCUUGCAUGGAAUAAUGGAAUAGGACCUUGGUUCUAUUUUGUUGGUCUCCGGAAUCUGAGGUAAUGAUUAAGAGGGACAGACGGGGGCAUUCGUAUUGCGCCGCUAGAGGUGAAAUUCUUGGACCGGCGCAAGACGAACUACAGCGAAAGCAUUUGCCAAGAAUGUUUUCAUUAAUCAAGAACGAAAGUUAGAGGUUCGAAGGCGAUCAGAUACCGCCCUAGUUCUAACCAUAAACGAUGCCA